CCUACGGGUGGCAGCAGUGGGGAAUAUUGGACAAUGGGCGAAAGCCUGAUCCAGCCAUGCCGCGUGUGUGAAGAAGGCCUUCGGGUUGUAAAGCACUUUCAGUGGGGAAGAAAGCCUUGGGGCUAAUACCCUCGAGGAAGGACAUCACCCACAGAAGAAGCACCGGCUAACUCCGUGCCAGCAGCCGCGGUAAUACGGAGGGUGCGAGCGUUGAUCGGAAUUACUGGGCGUAAAGCGCGCGUAGGCGGUCUGAUAAGCCGGUUGUGAAAGCCCCGGGCUCAACCUGGGAACGGCAUCCGGAACUGUCAGGCUAGAGUGCAGGAGAGGAAGGUAGAAUUCCCGGUGUAGCGGUGAAAUGCGUAGAGAUCGGGAGGAAUACCAGUGGCGAAGGCGGCCUUCUGGACUGACACUGACGCUGAGGUGCGAAAGCGUGGGUAGCAAACAGGAUUAGAUACCCGUGUAGUC
rnacentral:rRNA from 1 species